UAAAAUGAGAGUUUGAUCCUGGCUCAGGACGAACGCUGGCGGCGUGCCUAAUACAUGCAAGUCGA
rfam:Lactobacillus silagei DNA, scaffold: sequence13, strain: IWT126.